GCGUACGGCGUCCGACGAGUAUCCGGUCUGUCGUUCGUCGUCCUCACGGGCGUUCGGGCGAUACGAUUCGGUAUUCGACAGGGCAGCCCGCCGUCGUCAUGAGUAAGGCUUCUUAGAGGGACGGGCGGUGGCCAGCCGCACGAAAAGGAGCGAUAACAGGUCUGUGAUGCCCUUAGACGUCCGGGGCCGCACGCGUGCUACACUGGGGGAGUCAGCGCGGAACUCUUCCCUGCCCGGAGGGCGUAGGGAAAGCCGCUGAGUCUCCCCCGUGAUCGGGACCGGGGCUUGGCCAUUGUGCCCCGCCAACGAGGAAUUCCCCGUAGGCGCGGGUCAUAACCCCGCGCCGACUACGUCCCUGCCCUUUGUACACACCGCCCGUCGCUACCAUCGGUGAACGGUCUAGCGAGGACCUCGGACCGGCGCAAGUUUCGCACUAGCGUCCGGGAAGACGCC
rnacentral:rRNA from 1 species